rnacentral:rRNA from 1 species
UACGAAGGGAGCAAGCGUUACUCGGAUUUACUGGGCGUAAAGGGUGCGUAGGCGGCCUGAUAGUCAGAUGUGAAAGCCCAGGGCUUAACCCUGGAACUGCAUUUGAUACUGUCAGGCUUGAGUAUAAGAGAGGUAAGUGGAAUUCCCAGUGUAGCAGUGAAAUGCGUAGAUAUUGGGAGGAACAUCAGUGGCGAAGGCGACUUACUGGCUUAUAACUGACGCUGAGGCACGAAAGCGUGGGGAGCAAACAGG